ACCCAUUGCUGCCGAGGCUAACCGCUGCCGCUGCCGCUGCUGCUUAGAGCGGUUCCAGCCUCCUUCGCCGCUGCCGCCACGGGCGCCACUCUUCCAGCUGCCGCCGCCGAGCUGUUGCGAGCGAGUCGGGCUCCUCCGGUGGGGUUUACCCCUUCCCCGCCUGCUCCUUCCCCCUGCCUGCGAGUCAGCCUGGCUCAGAAUCACGUGGCAAUUGCCUGAGGCAGAGACUAAAGAGGGGGAAAAAAAAGCGCUUCAUUCCUUCUUCCACCGCCAUACUGUAUUUUAUAGUAACUCGCGUUUUUAUUCCUCCCUUUUACUCCCGCUCGAUGGCAGUGGAAGGUUUUCCUGGAGAAUGAAGUGCCGUUUGGUUUCCUUGUCAACCGAAGAUGAAGUGAACAACUGAACAUCUCCCCAGCGCAGGCAUCAGUUCCAGUUUAUACCAGUUAACAGACUCUGUGACCUGAGGUGUUUA